CAAGUGUCAACUGAUUUGUUUUCUUAUUUAUUGCCAAGUUUUCCUUAUUUUAUUUUAUAAAGCAAAUCUAAUGGUUUCAGAAUUUCAAGAAGAUACUUUUCUGAUGACGAAUAAUUUAAUCUUAGUAAGCUAUAUUGAUAAUAUAAUAUAAGUGAGAAAAAUAAAUACUUUAGUAUUACUAAUUAUUGAUAAGUAAACUGAACUCUUUUAUACUUCAAACUUAAAAAGGUAUGAUUUCAUUGAAGAGUUGUGAAUUGUGAUGUUGUAGUAUCUAUUUUGAAACAUCCGGAUGGUUGUAAGUAUAACGAUCUGAUCUCGAUCUUACUGUAUUGUUUACUAUUUUUCAGUUAUAUUUAGAUAAAGUUUUAUUUUCUUUUAUACAUUUGUACUUGGAUUUUAUGAGUUUUCUUAAAUUAUUUGUAUUAUUAGUUUGAUUAUAGGGAAAAAAACACGUUAAGUAUAUAUACUAUCAAAAUGUUUAAAUGUUGAUAGCGAUUUGCAUGGUUUUAUAUUUUCAAUAUUGGUUAGGCUGAUAUAUGCGCUGAAAACUUCUUAUAUCAAUUGUUAAAAAAAAAUGAAAGAUUAUAUAAUUAAACUAAGACCAUGUACAUUGGUGUACAUAGUAGAAGUCUCACACAUAAAUUUGUUCCCAAAAAUAAAUCAAAAAAAAAAAUUAAAGGACGUUUGUUAAUAUAGGAUGGUCAUGCACCUUCUUUUUUCACUAUUCGCGGGUUCUAUUGACACGUAGCGGCCCGCAAGUGAUUGUUAUUUUUUUAAUCUAAAAUUUUAAAAAAAUGUGGGAUGAAUAACCGCUGCACAUGGUCUAACGUCUUAUGUUCCAUAUGUGCUUUUUACUCUCUACCUAGUCAAAAGAUAAGUGACUCUCUUCAAUAUAAUUCCUUUCUCACAAUACCUAGUAAUAUUUUUAAUCAACAAAUAUGAAAGUCCUACAACUUUAAAAUUGGUUUGUUUAUUUUUUUUUUUUUUAAUAAUCAAAGAGGUUCUGGGUCAAAGCCCAUACAUCUCCUCAGGCCCGAAACCAAAACAUGUUAUAUGGUUUCGUCUCAAGCGCUACUCGAACCGGCGACUUCUAAGUUUCUGCCAGAGAUCUUUACUAAUUGAGGUAUUAGCACUUGGUUUCAAUCUAUUGGCUGAGGUUAAUGGCAGAGAGGGCACAACUUCCUACAAAUCUUAAAAACCAUCUUUGGAAGCAAGUACUUACCAACGACUUCGCCAUCUCAGAUUGUCUUGCAUUCCUCAACUCCAACUGUACAAAUUAAUUUCAACCGACUCCGUAACUAGUUGUUGAAAAUGCUUUUUUCUUAAGGAUAUGGAUUCGUUACUGUUGUUAGAUGUCUU